rnacentral:lncRNA from 1 species
AAUAGAAAGAUAUAAUAUUUGGUAAAAAAAUAGAAAAAGAACAAUGGUAAAACUAUCACAAAAAAACCUUAUGUCUCCGUAUUAAUAUUUGAAUAUAAAUGAUAAUGUAGAAAUUAUGGAAAAAUAGGUUCUUAUUAAUAUAUUAAUAAAAACACAGGCCUUGUAAAAACCACCAAAAAAUUAGGUCUCUGUAUUAAAUAUAUGAGUAUAAAUAUAUCCUUUUAAAAUUAUUAAAAAUAGGUAACCUUGUUAAUAUGUUAGUGAAAAUAUAGGUCUCACAAAAAUCAUCAAAAUAAUUACGUCACCGUAUUAAAUAUGAGUAUAACCCGUAAAAUUGUAAAACAAAAUAGGCAACUUAAUUAAUAUAUAAAUAAAAGUAUAAGCCCCGUAUAAAUCACAAAAAAAAAGUUUCCAUAUUAAUAUAUGAGUAUUUUAUAGGUUCCGUAUAUGUUAUAAAAGAACGGACAAACGUAUUAAUCGUAUUAAUAUGAGUAAAAAA